AGCGAACGCUGGCGGCAGGCCUAACACAUGCAAGUCGAACGAACUCUUCGGAGUUAGUGGCGGACGGGUGAGUAACACGUGGGAACGUGCCUUUUGGUUCGGAAUAACUCAGGGAAACUUGUGCUAAUACCGAAAUGUGCCCUUCGGGGGAAAGAUUUAUCGCCAUUAGAGCGGCCCGCGUCUGAUUAGCUAGUUGGUGAGGUAACGGCUCACCAAGGCGACGAUCAGUAGCUGGUCUGAGAGGAUGACCAGCCACACUGGGACUGAGACACGGCCCAGACUCCUACGGGAGGCAGCAGUGGGGAAUCUUGCGCAAUGGGCGAAAGCCUGACGCAGCCAUGCCGCGUGAAUGAUGAAGGUCUUAGGAUUGUAAAAUUCUUUCACCGGGGACGAUAAUGACGGUACCCGGAGAAGAAGCCCCGGCUAACUUCGUG
rnacentral:rRNA from 1 species